UGCCAGACUCCUACGGGAGGCAGCAGUGGGGAAUAUUGCACAAUGGGGGAAACCCUGAUGCAGCAACGCCGCGUGAGUGAAGAAGUCCUUCGUGAUGUAAAGCUCUAUCAGCAGGGAAGAAAAUGACGGUACCUGAGUAAGAAGCCCCGGCUAACUACGUGCCAGCAGCCGCGGUAAUACGUAGGGGGCAAGCGUUAUCCGGAUUUACUGGGUGUAAAGGGGGCGCAGACGGCGAUGCAAGCCAGGAGUGAAAGCCCGGGGCCCAACCCCGGGACUGCUCUUGGAACUGCGUGGCUGGAGUGCAGGAGGGGCAGGCGGAAUUCCUGGUGUAGCGGUGAAAUGCGUAGAUAUCAGGAGGAACACCGGUGGCGAAGGCGGCCUGCUGGACUGCAACUGACGUUGAGGCCCGAAAGCGUGGGGAGCAAACAGGAUUAGAUACCCUGGUA
rnacentral:rRNA from 1 species